UACGUAGGUCCCGAGCGUUGUCCGGAUUUAUUGGGCGUAAAGCGAGCGCAGGUGGUUUAUUAAGUCAGCGGUAAAAUUGCGGGGCUCAACCUCGUCGAGCCGUUGAAACUGGGUGCCUUGAGUGGGCGAGAAGUACGCGGAAUGCGUGGUGUAGCGGUGAAAUGCAUAGAUAUCACGCAGAACUCCGAUUGCGAAGGCAGCGUACCGGCGCCCAACUGACGCUGAAGCACGAAGGCGUGGGUAUCGAACAGG
rnacentral:rRNA from 1 species